UACGUAGGGGGCUAGCGUUGUCCGGAUUUAUUGGGCGUAAAGAGCGUGUAGGCGGCCAGGUAGGUCUGCUGUGAAAACUUGAGGCUCAACCUCGAGACGUCGGCGGAAACCAUCUGGCUAGAGUCCGGAAGAGGAGAGUGGAAUUCCUGGUGUAGCGGUGAAAUGCGCAGAUAUCAGGAAGAACACCCGUGGCGAAGGCGGCUCGCUGGGACGGUACUGACGCUGAGACGCGAAAGCGUGGGGAGCGAACAGG
rnacentral:rRNA from 1 species